CGCUGGCAGCGUGGAUUAGGCAUGCAAGUCGAACGGGAUCCGGAAGGCAGCAAUGUCGGCCGGUGAGAGUGGCGGAAGGGCGAGGAACACGUGGGCAACCUGUCCUUGAGGUGGGGAAAACCUCUGGAAACGGAGGCUAAUACCGAAUGCGGCGCGGAGGAGGCAUCUUCCCCGCGCCAAAGGGGGCCGCAAGGCUCUCCCUCAUCGAGGGGCUCGCGCACCAUCAGCUUGUUGGCGGGGUAACGGCCCACCAAGGCUUACGGUUAGCUGGUCUGAGAGGAUGGCCAGCCGCACUGGGACUGAGAUACUGCCCAGACUCCUACGGGAGGCUGCAGUCGAGGAUCAUUCGCAAUGGGGGAAACCCUGACGAUGCGACGCUGCGUGGAGGAUGGAGGCCUUCGGGUCGUAAACUCCUGUCAUGAAGGAAAAGGAGAGGGGCGCCAACACCGCCCCGAUUUGAUGGUACUUCAAGAGGAAGAGACGGCUAACUCUGUGCCAGCAGCCGCGGUAAUACAGAGGUCUCGAGCGUUGUUCGGAUUUACUGGGCGUAAAGGG
rnacentral:rRNA from 1 species